GACACGCCCACAGCACUGUAAACAAACGCACCCAAGAGCAGCUGGAGUGCCAGCCAGCAAUAGUGUAUAAGUAGCUUCUGCGCCCCUUUUCCUCUUAUAAACACCGGAGCAAGGCUAUAGGAAUCACAACACAUCCGCGGCCAAACACUCUCUCGUCCACUCCCUUACGCGCCUCCAUUUCUUCGCCCGGAACUCGAAUCGGAGCCCCUCAUUUUCCCACAAAAAUCUCACUGUCGCCAUUGCCGAUCAAGACUUCAUGCCCAGUUCCAUCUCGUCUCACGCUUCUCACUAGCCCGCAAAUCCACCGAUCGGUUCAAUUUCUCGGCGCGCUAUGGCGCUCUCGGCUUCCGACCUCCCGGCCAUGUACUCGCUGCUCACCAAUUCGCUCAGCGCCGAUGAGAGCGUGCGCAAGCCGGCGGAGGCCGCGCUCUCGCAGUCCGAGAGUCGCCCUGGGUUCUGCUCUUGUCUCAUGGAGGUGAUAACUGCCAAAGAUUUAGCGGCUCAGGUGGAUGUUCGGUUGAUGGCUUCAGUGUAUUUCAAGAAUGGCGUUAAUCGAUAUUGGAGGAACAGGCGUGAUUCCUCAGGAAUUAGCAAUGAAGAGAAAAUACAUUUGAGACAAAAGCUGUUGUUGCACUUACGAGAAGAGAACUAUCAGAUAGCUCUUAUGUUGGCUGUGCUCAUCUCAAAAAUAGCUCGGAUUGAUUAUCCCAAAGAAUGGCCGGAGCUCUUUUCUGUUUUGGCGCAACAGCUGCAAUCAGCAGAUAUUCUUACAUCCCACAGGAUUUUUAUGAUUCUGUUCCGAACCUUAAAGGAAUUGUCUACUAAACGUCUUACUUCAGACCAAAGGAACUUUGCAGAGAUAUCAUCUCAUUUCUUUGACUACAGCUGGCGCCUUUGGCAGAGCGAUGUGCAAACCAUACUUCGUGAUUUCUCUGCACUUGCUCAGUGCAUUAGCUCAGAUGCUUCUGAGCAGCAUCAGGGUGACCUUUAUUUGAUAUGCGAAAGAUGGUUGUUGUGUUUAAAGAUAAUUCGUCAAUUAAUCAUUUCAGGAUUUCCAAGUGAUGCUAAAUGCGUGCAGGAGGUCCGACCGGUCAAGGAGGUCUCACCUGUGCUCUUGAAUGCCAUUCAGUCAUUUCUUACAUACUAUUCAUCCUUUCAAACACAGUGUCCUAAAUUUUGGGACUUCAUAAAGAGGGCAUGUACUAAAUUGAUGAAGGUUUUAGUUGCAUUUCAGACCAGACAUCCUUAUUCAUUUGGUGAUGAGUGUGUCCUCCCACCUGUCAUGGAUUUCUGUUUAAAUAAGAUAUCAGAUCCUGAGCAUGAUAUACUAUCCUUUGAGCAAUUCCUGAUUCAAUGUAUGGUGAUGGUGAAGUCCAUACUGGAAUGUAAAGAAUACAAGCCAAGCCUUACUGGCCGCGUGAUAGAUGAAAAUCGGGUUACAAUAGAGCAGAUGAAGAAAAAUAUUUCCAGUAUUGUUGGUGGUGUCCUUACUUCCCUUUUGCCCAAUGAACGAAUAGUAUUGUUGUGUAACAUAUUGAUAAGAAGGUAUUUUGUUUUAUCAGCAAGUGAUUUGGAGGAGUGGUACCAGAAUCCUGAGUCUUUUCAUCAUGAGCAGGAUAUGGUUCAGUGGACAGAAAAAUUGAGACCAUGUGCUGAAGCUUUGUAUAUUGUUUUGUUUGAAAACCAUAGCCAACUGCUGGGUCCUGUUGUUGUUUCCAUCCUUCAAGAGGCCAUGCGUGGUUGCCCAACCUCAGUCACUGAAAUCACUCCAGGGUUGCUUCUUAAAGACGCUGCUUAUAGCGCUGCGGCACAUGUUUAUUAUGAGCUUUCCAACUACCUGAGCUUCAAAGAUUGGUUUAAUGGUGCUUUAUCUUUGGAACUGUCAAAUGAUCAUCCAAAUAUGCGCAUCAUCCAUCGGAAAGUGGCACUGAUACUGGGGCAAUGGGUUUCUGAGAUUAAAGAUGACACAAAGAGAUCAGUGUAUUGCGCCUUGAUCAGAUUGCUUCAGGAAAAAGACCUAUCUGUUAGACUGGCAGCCUGUCGGUCUCUAUGUUUUCAUAUUGAAGAUGCGAACUUUUCAGAGCAAGGUUUUACUGAUCUUCUUCCAAUCUGCUGGGAUUUAUGUUUCAAGUUGAUUGAGGAAGUCCAGGAAUUUGACUCAAAAGUUCAGGUUUUGAAUUUGAUCUCUACUCUUAUUGGAAGAGGAAAUGAAGUCAUUACAUUUGCCGACAAGUUGGUGCAAUUUUUUCAAAAGGUCUGGGAGGAAUCUUCUGGUGAAAGUCUUCUACAAAUUCAACUUCUUAUUGCACUACGGAGCUUUGUGACUGCACUUGGCUUUCAAUCACCCAUUUGCUACAACCUCAUAUUACCCAUUCUGCAAAAGGGCAUUGAUAUAAAUAGUCCAGACGAACUGAAUCUUUUGGAGGACAGCUUGCAGUUAUGGGAAGCUAUACUUUCAAAUGCUCCCUCAAUGGUGCCUCAACUACUAGCAUACUUCCCUUGUUUAGUGGAAGUCAUUGAAAGAAGUUUUGAUCACUUGCAGGUCGCUGUUCAUAUCACUGAGGGUUACAUAAUUUUGGGCGGAACUGAGUUCUUAAGUAUGCAUGCUUCUAGUGUUGCUAAACUUCUUGAUUUGAUUGUUGGAAAUGUUAAUGAUAGAGGCCUGCUUUCAACUCUUCCAGCCAUUGAUAUACUAAUCCAGUGUUUCCCUAUGGAAGUGCCUCCACUGAUCAGCAGUGCUUUGCAGAAAUUAGUCGUCAUAUGUUUGACUGGAGGAGAUGAUCAUGAUCCUUCUAAGACAGCAGUAAAAGCAUCAGCAGCAGCCAUCCUAGCAAGGAUUUUAGUAAUGAAUAGCAAUUACCUUGCCCAAUUAACAUCACAGCCAUCACUUAUGUUGCUCCUCCAGAAGGCCGGUUUCCCAGCUGAAGAAAAUAUACUUCUCUGUCUGAUUGACAUUUGGCUUGAGAAGGUCGACAAUGCAUCCUCAGCUCAAAGGAAGAUGUUUGGUUUAGCCCUUUCUAUCAUUCUAACCCUAAGAUUACCUCAAGUUCUUGAUAAACUUGAUCAGAUCCUAAGUGUAUGUACAAGUGUAAUUUUGGGAGGAAAUGAUGAUUUAACAGAGGAAGAAUCCAGUGGUGACAACAUGAGCUCCAGCAGGUCUCAGAAUGAAGGACCUGUUCCAAGUAAAGAGUUCAAGAGAAGGCAGAUAAAGUUUUCAGACCCUAUCAAUCAGUUGUCAUUAGAAACGUCAGUGAGAGACAAUCUUCAGACAUGUGCCGCUCUUCAUGGAGAGUCUUUUAAUUCAGCUAUUGGUAGGAUGCAUCCUGCAGCAUUUGCACAAUUGAAGCAAGCAUUAAAGAUGCCAUAGCAUGUGGUGUACUCUUCUAAAAUCAGUCUUCUCAUGUCGAUGGCAUCUCAAAUUUUUCCUUCUUCCGAUAACUUGUGAAGAUUAUAGGUGACAUUGAAGGUUUUAUUUACUUUGUGUGGCUUGGUGCUCUCAAUCAUUUUUAAUGUUUCUUAAUUGUUUGGGCUGGGUUCCAUUUCCAGUUUAUAUGUUAAAUUUCAUUUGUUGUAAAUGCUUCUUUGGGCUGUAAAUAGGCUUGACCCUUGCUUGGCCUAGCAUUCAAGGCCUAAGGGUCCCAAGAUUUUGUCAUUGACCUUGAGAAUUUCACAGAAACAUGAAAGAUUAAAGAGGAAGAAAUGUACAAGGUUUUUAUUUACUCA